rnacentral:rRNA from 1 species
AUGAAGGUCUUCGGAUCGUAAAGCACUUUCGCCAGGGAUGAUAAUUGACAGUACCUGGUAAGAAACCCCGGCUCAACUUCCGUUGCCAGCAGCCGCGGUAAUACGGAGGGGGUUAGCGUUGUUCGGAAUUACUCGGGCGUAAAGCGUACGUAGGCGGAUCAGAAAGUUGGGGGUGAAAUCCCGGGGCUCAACCCCGGAACUGCCUCCAAAACUCCUGGUCUUGAGUUCGAGAGAGGUGAGUGGAAUUCCAAGUGUAGAGGUGAAAUUCGUAGAUAUUUGGAGGAACACCAGUGGCGAAGGCGGCUCACUGGCUCGAUACUGACGCUGAGGUACGAAAGUGUGGGGAGCAAACAGGAUUAGAUACCCUGGUAGUCCACACCGUAAACGAUGAAUGCCAGUCGUCGGGCAGUAUACUGUUCGGUGACACACCUAACGGAUUAAGCAUUCCGCCUGGGGAGUACGGUCGCAAGAUUAAAACUCAA